rnacentral:rRNA from 1 species
AGAGUUUGAUCCUGGCUCAGGACGAACGCUGGCGGCGUGCCUAAUACAUGCAAGUAGAACGCUGAAGGAGGAGCUUGCUCUUCUGGAUGAGUUGCGAACGGGUGAGUAACGCGUAGGUAACCUGCCUGGUAGCGGGGGAUAACUAUUGGAAACGAUAGCUAAUACCGCAUAAGAGUAGAUGUUGCAUGACAUUUGCUUAAAAGGUGCAAUUGCAUCACUACCAGAUGGACCUGCGUUGUAUUAGCUAGUUGGUGGGGUAACGGCUCACCAAGGCGACGAUACAUAGCCGACCUGAGAGGGUGAUCGGCCACACUGGGACUGAGACACGGCCCAGACUCCUACGGGAGGCAGCAGUAGGGAAUCUUCGGCAAUGGACGGAAGUCUGACCGAGCAACGCCGCGUGAGUGAAGAAGGUUUUCGGAUCGUAAAGCUCUGUUGUAAGAGAAGAACGAGUGUGAGAGUGGAAAGUUCACACUGUGACGGUAUCUUACCAGAAAGGGACGGCUAACUACGUGCCAGCAGCCGCGGUAAU